rnacentral:rRNA from 1 species
AUUGAACGCUGGCGGCAGGCUUAACACAUGCAAGUCGAACGAGUGGCGGACGGGUGAGUAAUGUUUGGGAAUCUUGCUGAUGGAGGGGGAUAACUACUGGAAACGGUAGCUAAUACCGCGUACCAUAGGAUGAGCCCAAGUGGGAUUAGGUAGUCGGUGGGGUAAAGGCUCACCUAGCCGACGAUCCCUAGCUGGUCUGAGAGGAUGACCAGCCACACUGGAACUGAGACACGGCCCAGACUCCGACGGGAGGCAGCAGUGGGGAAUAUUGCGCAAUGGGGGCAAGCCUGACGCAGCCAUGCCGCGUGAAUGAAGAAGGCCUUCGGGUUGUAAAGGACUUUCAGCGAGGAGGCGUUACUCGCAGAAGAAGCACCGGCUAACUCCGUGCCAGCAGCCGCGGUAAUAC